GUUCGGUAUCUGCACCUGCCCUGAAGAGAACUGGAAGACAGAAAGGUUACAUUGUGUUCAGGCUGCGGAGGGGAGCAUUUCCAAGCCUUAUUCAUUUGGAAAGAGAUUUCUGGGAUAUGCAGAUUCCGCCCUUCUGACAUCACUGCCUCAUCUCGCCUCAUCGGUGCCUCAUGACACAACCCCUCUCCACAGCACUGAGUCAGCAGCACUGUGUGAUCUCCUCUUGGCCAUGCAAGAUGGUGAAAAGCUGCCCAUAAUGGUGAAAGCAUAGAGGGACCUCUAAACAGGUCCCCAAAGGGAUUAAAAAACUCAUGGUCAUUUUAUGAGAACCCCUCCCAGGAAAUAACAUGUGCUUGG
rnacentral:lncRNA from 1 species